UGCACGAAAGUGUGACGGUGCGACGCCGCGUGAGGGAUGAAGGUCUUUGGAUUGUAAACCUCUGUCAUGGAAUAGAAAAUGUCUGAUGUUAAUAGCAUUAGGCUUGAUCCUUCCAAAAGGAAGCACAGGCUAACCUCGUGCCAGCAGCCGCGGUAAUACGAGGUGUGCGAGCGUUGUUCGGAAUUACUGGGCAUAAAGGGUGCGUAGGCGGUGUUUCAAGUCGCUGGUGAAAUCCCUUGGCUUAACCAAGGAAUGUCCGGCGAUACUGGAAUGCUAGAGAAUCAAAGGGGCAAGCGGAACUGUAGGUGUAGCAGUGGAAUGCGUAGAUAUCUACAGGAACGCCAAUGGCGAAGGCAGCUUGCUGGGUGAUUUCUGACGCUGAGGCACGAAAGCGUGGGGAGCAAACAGGAUUAGAUACCCUGGUAGUCCACGCUGUAAACGAUGAGCGCUUUAUUCUGGGAGAGUUUACUCUUUCGGAGUUGGAGCUAAUGCGUUAAGCGCUCCGCCUGGGGAUUACGGUCGCAAGACUAAAACUCAAAGGAAUUGACGGGGGCUCACACAAGCGGAGGAGCAUGUUGUUCAAUUCGAAGCAACGCGAAGAACCUUACCCAGACUUGACAGCUUCGUAGUAAAACCCUGAAAGGGGAAUGACCUUCGGGAGCGAAGUACAGGUGCUGCAUGGCUGUCGUCAGCUCGUGUCGUGAGGUGUUAGGUUAAGUCCUGUAACGAGCGAAACCCUUGUCGUCUGUUGCCAGCGAGUUAUGUCGGGCACUCUGACGAGACUGCCGGUGUUAAACCGGAGGAAGGUGAGGACGACGUC
rnacentral:rRNA from 1 species